AAGCGGGUGGUAAACUCCAUCUAAGGCUAUAUACCGGCAUGAGACCGAUAGUCGACAAGUACCUUAAGGGAAAGUUGAAAAGAACUUUGAAGAGAGAAGAGCGUCGUGUCGGG